GCCUGGAAACCUCCAUAUGCCGCGGGAGCGGCCCAAGAAAUGGCAAAAAGACAAAAAAAAAAGUCAGUGCCUAAAAGUAUGUCUGUUUUCAUUCAUUUCACAAAUAUUUUCUGAGCACCUCCACUAUGCCAAGCAUUGUUAUAAAAACUAGGAAGGACGUACAAUAAAAUCAGAUGAAAUAUAUUGUCUAGUAGUAGACAGUAAGAGGUGCUAUAAAGAAAAAUAAAGCAGAUAGGAGGGAUGGAGAAUGUUGAGGUGGGGAGUUAACAAUUUUAAAUAAAGUCAGUCAGGAAAGCCUUUUUGGAAAUGAUGAUAACUGAACAAACACUCCUAGGUGAUGAGGGCAGUGUGUCCCAGGCCAGAACAGCCAAUGCAAAGGCACUGAGGCAGGGGUAGAACAGCCAGGAGGUACUAAGGCUGGAGCAGCAUGAACAAAAGAAACUGGGAGUAAGAGAGAGGUUACCAUCUAAGAGAGAGAGACCAGACUGUCUAGGGCCUUGAGGUUAUAGUCAAAGACUCUGGCUUGUAAUCCAAAAUGAUCUGCCUUAGGUGUGAAAAGAAGCACUAUGUCCUUUGCACAGCUGAGAAGAAAGGACCAAGGGUGGAAGAGAGGAGUUAAGAAACUACUGUGGUAACCCAGACUCGGCCCCCCAUACAGUGCACUGAAUACGGAUAAAAAGGUACAUUGUUAUAUAAGAAGAUGAGAAAGGGGCUGUCACGAGCCUGUCAUCAUGAUCGCAUUCUGCUGGUGAACUGGGAGAGGAGAGAAGUGGAGAAGAGUAAGCAGCAAGGUAUAAGGGAAGGUUGAAAGGAGAAACUCUUCAGUGAUGGGAGGGGAACCCGAAGGCUUAUAUGGAUCCCCCAGAGAUUUGUUUUGGGAAGGGGGUUGGAGGCAGGAAGUGGGUGAGGGGGCUCCCUCACUCCUUAGGCCUUCUUCAAUGGGGAGCAAAGUCUAGGAACAUUCACCCCAGGCCUCUCUCCAGUCACUGGGUUGGUGAUUGGGGAGCACUCAGCUGCAGGUGGUUCUCCCUCCUCCCCCUCUCCUCCCCCUUCUCUUCAAUAAUGCCCCACAGGGGCCCCCUCCCACCUGAGCAAGCCUGGCCCAGCCCAGCAGAUCCUAUAACUGUAUGGAGUUCUAUCUAAUUCUAGGGUUCAGAUUAAGAAACUCAUUUGCUCCUUGAUAGAAGCCACAUUCUUCAACACCAGCUUUUUGGGCAAUAAAGAUGAGAAUUUGGUCUCCAUCUGUUUUUGUUGUUGUUUGUUUGUUUUCAACCUAAAUUGACCAGAUCUUAUCUGAGUAAGAAGGGUGUUAUUAUUGGAAUGCUCUAGAGUCCAUCAGGGCUGGGAAUAGACUGGUAUGGACAGGAUUGGACCCUGCCUAUGUAUGAAAAGCUGUGAAGACAGAUAUUUUUUCUUUUCUUUUAUUAGAGAGGAAUUAUCUAGAACUCCAUAUCUAAGAAUGCAGUUGACAAAUCACUAGUUUCAAGGGGUUCACAUAGAAACAACUACUUCUAUGGUCAAAAGUAGGAGAAAAACCUGCAGAAUGUGUUCCUCUCCAAUUGAUUUCCAAUUCUCUUUAACAUACUAAAGGCUCUGAGAAACUCUUCAGUAAAGAAACCCCCAAUUUUUUUUCCAAUGCAUUUGACUUUUAUAGUAAACUUUAAUCAAUGGAUACCUAUUAAACAUCUUGCAGAUGUCUAUGAACAUAACAUGGGAAAUGCUCAUAUAACAUUUCUGAAGCUAAAACUGAAUAUGAAAUAUACUGUGUUUACUGGGUUUUUUAGACAACUCUCAACACUGGCAAAUUUCUUAUUUAGUCUUUGAACCUUCAUUUGAUACAACAUUAACCCACACUUACUUUCCUUCAGAUGAUUCACUUUACAACUCCCUCUUAAUUCAUUCAGCUGCAUUUGGGGCAGACUAGAAGAAUGUGACUGCAUUCUACUACAUGAUUCCAAUUCCAGAAUAGCUGAUAAUCGACAAAGCAGAAAAGGAUAGCCAGAUACCUUGAAGACACAGGAGAAAGCCCUAGUGCUCAGAAAUAUCUCCUCCACAAAUUCUACCAAUUAGAGAUUCAUUAGAGUUAAUGAGCGCCUCUUUUAAAAUGCAAAUGCCCUCUGAGAGUGUUUGCUUAUUAGUCUUUCACCAAGGGACAUAGUGGAAAGAACAGUGCAAUGGCCACUCCAUUAACUCCUUUGCAUUCUUCAGUCACACACUCAUUAUCCAAGGCGGGCCUGGCACGGUGGCAAGAUAAUGGCUUUGGAAUCCGCCAGAACGCAACCCAAAUCUUUUACCAAAUCUAUGACCUUGUGCAAGUUACUUAACUCCCCAGAGCCUCAAUUUCCUCAUCUGAAAAAUGGGAACAAUGAUACAUAAUAAGGCUAUUAUACAGAUUAAAUGAGAAAACAUGUUAAACACUAAUUGUAGAGAAGAAGGGAGAGGAGCUGGGGCAAGGUUAGCAUUAUGUCAUAAGUCUUGGUGCCAAAUGCUGCCCUGUUGCCAUGAUUGUAUCUUGGGAGAGGUAAAAGCAAAAGCCCUGUCUUAUAAUUUCAUUUAGUGCUCGAAGCAGUAUUGGGAGGUAGGCUUUGUUAUAUCCACUUAAGAAAGGCAGAGCUGAUGUUGGAAUCCAAGUCUGCUGACAAUGCCAAAUCAUCACAUCAUAUUAUGCAGCUUCCUCUUAUUGAUCGAAUGUGAGUUAAGUUAUCCAACUCAGCUUCAUACGUUUUACAUUUAAGUCUCCUCCAGUUUAGUUUUCCCCUUCACUUUUUCUAAUUCUAUCUACCUGCUCCCCAUUUUCGACUUCACUGAAGAGAGAAGGAAGAGAGAAAAAGCAAAAGAACUAAUUGCUGAAGACAUGCCCUGCCCAGGAGCCUAAUGCUGCCAGGUCAGGAUUCUGCAGACAACUGCAAUCUCACAAGAAAAUAAGCCAGGGCAGGAACAGCUAAGCCGUAGAGGGAGGAGUGCAGUUAGCAAACAAAUAGAGGAAACUAAGCUAACCAGGAAUUAAAGGCAAGCAAAUUAAAAUGGCACCAAGAACAUAUUAAGGUAGCAUCCCCAAAUUAUUACAAAAUCGUUAAGGAUGCUUACAACUAACACAUUGGCAUCAUUGUGAUAAUGAAACAAAUGCUCAGAAAACAUCUGCUGAUUCAAAUGUAUGUGGGAAGGGGGACAAUAAGAAAGAUAACUGUAUACAUACACUCCCAAGGGCUUAUAAAAAGAAUUAUAAAUGGCUGUUAAAAUAUGAAGAAAAUUGAAAUUAAGAGUUCAACAGAACAGGCAAUGUAGUUUAUAUCAGAGUGAAUUUUAAUUUUAAUAUAUAUUUAUACAUAAGUUUAACGCACUAUGUUAGAUUUUAACCUUAUGACUACUAUUAAAAUCAUACAGCUAAAACCUUGUUUACUUCUUUGAAAGCUUAGGGUCACAUUGGAUACUUAAAGGCUAAUUUACUCAGGGAAGUAAGAAUAACAGCAAAUCCAACUGAAGCCAGAUCCAUUGAACAGUCCUCCGGCAGCUCUGAAUUAACUUGUCCAAGGAUCCCACAGAUUUCUUGAGUUUGAGUCUUGUUACUUUGUAGCUAUGGGUAAUAAUUUUCUGGAAGGUUUUGAGCAAUUCAAAACAUCAAUUAAGUACUUAACACCAUGUUAAACAGUUAAGCCCAGGCAUUCUUAUUUUUAGGCUAGAAGACUAGAAACUCAAAAGGCCAAAUAAAUUUCGUACUUGUAUAUUUGAACAAUACCAUAUUAUGCUGUACAAAUAUGCAUUCAAAGUUUGUUUUUUUGUUUUUUUGGUUUUUUUUGUCUUUUUGCUAUUUCUUUGGGCUGCUUCUGCGACAUAUGGAGGUUCCCAGGCUAGGGGUUUAAUCGGAGCUGUA